rnacentral:rRNA from 1 species
GGCGGACGGGUGAGUAAUGCUUGGGAACUUGCCUUUGCGAGGGGGAUAACAGUUGGAAACGACUGCUAAUACCGCAUAACGUCUACGGACCAAAGGGGGCUUUUAGCUCUCGCGUGAAGAGAGGCCCAAGUGAGAUUAGCUAGUUGGUGAGGUAAAGGCUCACCAAGGCGACGAUCUCUAGCUGUUCUGAGAGGAAGAUCAGCCACACUGGAACUGAGACACGGCCCAGACUCCUACGGGAGGCAGCAGUGGGGAAUAUUGCACAAUGGGGGAAACCCUGAUGCAGCCAUGCCGCGUGUGUGAAGAAGGCCUUCGGGUUGUAAAGCACUUUCAGUUGUGAGGAAAGGUUGGUAGUUAAUACCUGCCAGCUGUGACGUUAACAACAGAAGAAGCACCGGCUAACUCCGUGCCAGCAGCCGCGGUAAUACGGAGGGUGCGAGCGUUAAUCGGAAUUACUGGGCGUAAAGCGCACGCAGGCGGUUUGUUAAGCUAGAUGUGAAAGCCCCGGGCUCAACCUGGGAUGGUCAUUUAGAACUGGCAGACUAGAGUCUUGGAGAGGGGAGUGGAAUUCCAGGUGUAGCGGUGAAAUGCGUAGAGAUCUGGAGGAAACAUCAGUUGGCGAAGGCGACUCCCUGGCCAAAGACUGACGCUCAUGUGCGAAAAGUGUGGGUAUGCGAACAGGGAUUAGAUACCCUU